UACGUAGGGCGCGAGCGUUGUCCGGAAUUAUUGGGCGUAAAGAGCGUGUAGGCGGCUAGGUAGGUCCGUUGUGAAAACUCGAGGCUCAACCUCGAGACGUCGAUGGAAACCAUCUAGCUAGAGUCCGGAAGAGGAGAGUGGAAUUCCUGGUGUAGCGGUGAAAUGCGCAGAUAUCAGGAAGAACACCCGUGGCGAAGGCGGCUCUCUGGUACGUGACUGACGCUGAGACGCGAAAGCGUGGGGAGCGAGCAGG
rnacentral:rRNA from 1 species